UUAUAAACUAUAUAAAGAUCCUAAAACAUGCUUUAUACCAACGUGCUCCAAGACUGAUCUGAAAAACCCGGAUUUGAAGUUUUUUACUGUAAGAAAAGAGCUGAAACAACGUUGGUGUCAAUUGGUUGGCAGGAACUGUCCAAACCGAGCACUGUUUUGCUGUGCGGACCACUUAAAUUUUGAAGAAGAUUUGGAAAAUUAUGGACAAUGGAUCUCUGGUGCAAAGCCAAGACUGAAAAUAAAUGCCAUACUUAAGAAUUUUUCAAAAAAACCAUUAAGUGCAAUCAAUAAGAAUAUUGAAGAUCUUAAUCGGCCAUCAACUUCAAGUGCUGCUGACAAUGCUGGCAUGCAGAUGCAGCUAUACAGUGUGAUAAAAGAAUAGGUGUUUCAAACAAGUUUGUUUUGGCCCAGCCGAAGACUCAAACCAUAGCUACUCAAUUCCGUGGGCGAAAAAUAAAAGAAAGUGUGAUGCCAUCACGAAUGAUGCAAC